GGGGACAUAGUUUAGUGGUAAAACAUUUACCCAGUGUGGGAGUGGCCCUGGUUCAAUCCCAGUAUCACCA
rnacentral:tRNA from 1 species